GACGAACGCUGGCGGCGUGCCUAAUACAUGCAAGUUGAGCGCUGAAGGUUGGUACUUGUACCAACUGGAUGAGCAGCGAACGGGUGAGUAACGCGUGGGGAAUCUGCCUUUGAGCGGGGGACAACAUUUGGAAACGAAUGCUAAUACCGCAUAAAAACUUUAAACACAAGUUUUAAGUUUGAAAGAUGCAAUUGCAUCACUCAAAGAUGAUCCCGCGUUGUAUUAGCUAGUUGGUGAGGUAAAGGCUCACCAAGGCGAUGAUACAUAGCCGACCUGAGAGGGUGAUUGGCCACAUUGGGACUGAGACACGGCCCAAACUCCUACGGGAGGCAGCAGUAGGGAAUCUUCGGCAAUGGACGAAAGUCUGACCGAGCAACGCCGCGUGAGUGAAGAAGGUUUUCGGAUCGUAAAACCCUGUUGGUAGAGAAGAACGUUGGUGAGAGUGGAAAGCUCAUCAAGUGACGGUAACUACCCAGAAAGGGACGGCUAACUACGUGC
rnacentral:rRNA from 1 species